rnacentral:rRNA from 1 species
CAACUUUCAACAACGGAUCUCUUGGUUCUGGCAUCGAUGAAGAACGCAGCGAAAUGCGAUAAGUAGUGUGAAUUGCAGAAUUCAGUGAAUCAUCGAAUCUUUGAACGCACAUUGCGCCCUUUGGUAUUCCGAAGGGCAUGCCUGUUCGAGCGUCAUUU